CCAUCCUUGAAUUCCACAUUUCUCACCUCGGCUCACUCUCUGUUUGGCUCCUGAGAGGAUUCCGGGCGUGUCGAUGAUGCUGAUGCUCUCCAGCACCUGGUUAGACAUCUGGGCGCAUUGGAACCUGCAGCGCAACAGAAAUGCAUAUCAGCUAAAAAAAUUUUAAAAAAAGGAGGGGGGAGGGCAGUGACGAUACAGGUAUCGAUAUUGAAACGAUAUCAGGCUGAUUUCUAGCUAUCGAAUAUUUGUGGAGACUGCCUAUAUCAGACACCGAUACUUAAGUCAAAAGUUGUGAGUUAGCCAGCAAGCUAGAUUUUUGCAAGUUGCAACGUGGCCCGACCCCGCCUGAGCUCAAGCCACGACGGACGGGCUGAGACUGGAAUGGAAAACGCCUGCUCCAUUGUGUCGGCUCAUGGCUUCCCACUUCCUGAAUGGAAAAAAGCCAUCGCCGCUGCCAGAAUCAAACAAUAAGGCUCGCUAAUGAUGUCGCGCCUCUGGAACAACAACAACGACACUUCCCGUGGCCCGCCAACUUAACGAGCGCCCCGCUUCCCGACCCUCGCCCGGAUGGGAAGACAAACAAAGAACAACAUCGGUGCGGGAGUUCUGGGAUUUCUUCGACGCAUAACUCGCAGCUGGUAUUUGUGCUCGUUAAGAACGUAAAAAAAAAAAAAAAAAUGUCUUGGCUUGCGCGUGACUCAAGUGUGUUAUUGUUUUUACAUCUCAACAUUAAUAGUUUUUACAUUUAGUUGAAAAUAGGGAAAACGCUGAGUCGUGCGAAACAUCAAAGGUGAGAGUGCAUGAUGGUUUCUGCUUGGCAAUAUUUAUAUUAUUAAUUGGCUUCAUGUCAAAAUCAAGCGAACAAAAAAAUCGCCCGCAUCCUUGAAUGAAUUCAAUGAAAGCGUUUAUGAUAGUGACGGUAUGAGAUUAACGAGCGCGCCGCUUUCCAAUCAAAGACAGGAUGUCAAAGACAAACACGAAAGUGGGAGUCCCGGGAUUUCUUUGCUCGUCUUCCUGUGACGUCACCAAGUGAAAAGAAAAAACAACGAGGAUUUCUGCUUCGGGUUCUCGGAGACUCACAAGUCUGUCACCGGGCUCGUUUGUCCCGACCUCACUGCCCUCCUCCCUUCUGACCUUAUCGGCCUCCGUUUGCAUGUGACUCGAGAAGUGCAUUGCCUCCACUCCAGAAGAAAAAAUGUUGUUCACUACUUGAGCGUUUGACAUCCGGACGUAGGCAAGGAGGCGGAGCCAAGAUUCCAAAGGCCUUACAACAUACGCACUCGCCGCCUUCCACGUGAGGCUCACCUGUUGAGGAAGGUGUUGCCGAAAGGGUUGAGCUUGCGGAAGGGCUUGUUGGGGUCCACGAUGAGGGCGUUUCCGGGAAUGAGACUCUCCACGUCGCCGUGCAUGAUGGCGGUGAAGCAGUCAGUGGUGGGUUCGGGCCCCACGCGGCUGCCGGGAAUCUCCUGCUCCAGCAGGUACCUGUCAAUCAAUGUAAAUAAAUGUGGUAAUGUAAUUAAAAACGAUUAAUCGGCCAGCUGAUUUAAUCGACAGAAAUGA